AAUGUCUGGUAUCAUAGAUCACAAGGGUUUGUACCAAAUCGCAUCUAUAAUCAAUUUUCUUUUCUGGAUAUGUUUAGACAAAUCAUACAUGCAUAUUACAUAUUGCUGCUACAAGCCGUUGGAGUCUAUCCAAAAAAUUGCAUGUACAUGCAUAUUACCCAUUGCUGCUACAAGCCGUUGGAGUCUAUCCAAAAAAUUGCAUGCUGCAGUUGUAUAAUUAAUCGGAGCAUUGCAAAAUAUACUCGAUUAUGGUAGUUUUGAUAAAGUAAAUCUUAAUUUGAUCAAUUUAUUACUC
rnacentral:lncRNA from 1 species